UAUGUGUUAAUUAGAAUUUUUAGAAUUUUAUGAUAGGUUUAAUUGAAAUUCGAUUCAGAACGAUUAAAUUAGAAUAAUUAAUGCUCAUUUGGUUAGAAUAAGCCAAGAUUAGUUAAGCUUCAUUAAACAAGCCUAAAUAAGGCUUAUAUGAGUCAAGCCACUCGACUACACACUCUCAUUCUAUCAUCCUUGAGGCAACAAAACAUGAGAGAGAGCAAGAGAAGGAAAGAGUUGAGAUCAAAGCUAGGAGAGGGAAAGAUUUACUAGAAAAGAGAAGGAUUUGGAGAGAACUUGGGAAAUUAAGCUCACACACUUGAGAAUUCAAAGCUUGAGAUGAUCAGGUACAUGACCAGGCUCAGAGUUGUGGACCUGGCGUCUCAGUUUUUGUCAGCCAACCUUUAUGCCUUUCGAGCAGGUUCCGGAUUAAGUCAAGUCUAGUGUUCGUGUUGUUAUGAAUGUAUAAGACUUUGUUUCUUUUGCUCCACGAACAAGUUUUUCCGUUUAUAUGUACAUGAAGUAACAUGUAAAUACUGUAUCUUUUGACAUCACUUGUAUGUUAAAAAAAAAAAAUUAGAUUAUCUGUCC